UAGUAGUGGAAAACUUUUCUCUGAGAUAGUUUUAGAUAUGAAUUCAGUGCAUCUUUGACGCAAUUUUUAGAAUGUGAAAGUAAAAAGCUCGUGAUGUUUUUCAUGUUUCAAAAGUAAAACCUUCCCCCUGAGAACAGCAUGUGUUGUGCAGAGACUGCACAAAGCCACAUAGCGCCAGUCACUGAUUCCAGUGUUCUUUGAGAUGGACCAUGCAGCUUUCCUUGUUGCUGUUCUCCAACUUUUUAGAAUUUUAGCCAGUGUGGAAGGAAGGUUUGUGGAUUCAACUAUAAAUCUUUCAGAGAAGAUGAAACUGGAAUGCAUAUAUCCAAAAAAAGCUGUGAUAACACAGACAUCCUGGAUGAAACAAAAUGGAAGUCAUAAAGAAAAUAUUGCCGUCUUGCAUCCUAUCUAUGGCAUACAUAUUGAAGACAAAUACAGAGGAAGAAUAUAUUUUGAAAAUACUUCUAGGGAAGACCAAUCCUUAUCCUUCAACAAGAGUACUUUGGAAGAUGUUGGUCUUUACUUUUGCUCCAUUGUAACUUACCCAGAUGGAGUCUCUGAGAAGAUAAUAGAAGUUAUUCAUCCAGGUAAGGAAAUUUCUCAUCACUUUUUAAAUUUCUGAUAUACCCAAUACAGAAAUUUAUGCAAAUUUAGGGAAUAUCUGGCUCUGUAACUUUUCAAUUAUACUGCACAUUUAAAUGGAUUAAUUUGGGUGAAAGUACAAAAACAUCAGGAAAUAAUUAUUUUGCUCUAACAAAAGUUUAUUUUAAGAGAAGUAGGAAAUAAGGAGUGGAACUGAAGGACACAGUUGUAUGUCACAGUACCAGUUUGUCACAUGCCAGACUUUAGAUAGCAAUGAUCAUUUCAAAAGUGCAUUUCUAUAGUCUGUAGGAUCUCCUUAGAGAAUUAAUUAAACCUUAUAACUGCCCAUGGAGGGUAAUGGAUUUUUAUUGCUGUGCUUUAUAGUGAGGAUGCUACUGUGCACUGGUUUCAAAACUAAGAAAAACAGAAAAAUGAACAAACAAACAAAACAGCAGCAAUAACAAAAAACAAGUGAAAACAUUUAUGAAUGGUGUGGCAGCAAA